AGGCUCAGACAGUUUUCCAGCCUGCUGCCUCAUCAGCACAUACACACAUCAGUAACUCUCCUGCUCAAACUGGGCCUGCCCUGCCUGCUAUACAUGUGUACGUGAAUCAGGGUGAAAACUUAUACCCACAGGGUCGUGGACGAGGCAGGGAGGCGAUGAGAGGAGGAUUGAUAAGGAGAGGACGAGGGAGAGGAGGACAAUUACCAACGUUUAGGCUCACCCAGCCUAACCCGCAGCAGAGCAAUGUGCCUAAAGGAGACAUUAUAUGUUGGAGCUGUAACCAACCUGGACAUUUGCAACGGGAUUGCCCUGUUAAUCCUUGGACAGGGCCCUCAGCAAACUGGUUAUAGGGGUGUCCGGAGGAGCCUGAGGGGGAGAUGGAGCUACCUGUGGUGUCAUUAAAUUCAUCAAAUGAGCCCAUCAUACCUGUAGAAAUACAGGGACACGAAUAUUCAUUUAUGGUGGACACAGGUGCGACCUAUUCAUGUAUUGGAACUGAAGGUGCUGGGCUCCCCCUCUCUACAGCAUCAGUUAAGACAGUAGGCUUCUCUGGAAAAACACAAGUUAUACCCCUCACCCAGCCAGUUCCAAUGAUGGUAUCAGGAAAAUCAAUUGUUGCACCGUUGUUGUAUUCAGCCGACACCCCAAUCAAUCUUAUGGGAAGAGAUAUUUUGUGCCCUCUAAAAGCAAAAAUAAUGUGCACCCCUGAUGGACUGUAUGUGGAUUUUCCACAGGAAGAAAUACAUAGAAUGAUGCCAACUCAAACUGAAAAAGAGGUUGAACGUCAGAUGCAGCCUCUAGUCUAUUGGCUGCAGUUAACACCUGAAGAAUCCAUGCUGAAGCAGGAAUGGACAAAGUGGAAAAUCUGGGUGCAGACACAGAUGGGUGAAGUGGAGGAAGUCCGGCUGCCGUUACAUUGCACAUUACUCUUCGACGGAAAUCACCGCUUUAAGGAUUAUGAAGCCUGCUGGGAUGAACUGCUUAAUAAAAAGCCAUUUCUCAUAACCAGUGAAGACAUUUACAUUGGCCCACAAGGAGCGGCAGCAGCAGUAACCCUCCCUGAUGAAUUAAAAGACUGGUUUCAAGUGCAAAACUCUGUGCCGCAUAUCACUCUUUUGAUUGCUCAGGGACAUGAAUCUCAUGAGUUGGGGCCUAUGAUAAAGCAGGCUCUGCAGGUACCAGAAUGGGAGCCUACAGAGAAUAAAUUGAUUCAUCUAUCCAAAGAUAGACAGUUUGUCAGAAUCUCCAUGAAAAAUAGUGAUGAGAGUGUUGCAACUAAAGUAAUGCUAAAUGAAAGGCCUGUUUCUUUAAUGCCUUUGUCAGCAGAACAUGAACACCUGCUGAAGCAGGUUCCUGCCCAGCUGUGGUCAAUAAACAAAACUGAUGUGGGGAAAGUAAAGUCAGCUCAACCAGUAAAAGUAAAACUGAAGCCUGAAAUUAAGUUGCCAUACAUUAAGCAAUAUCCACUCAAGCCACAUGCCAUUGAAGGUAUCAAACCUAUAAUUGAGGGGUUGGAAAAGGCUGGUGUAUUAAUUAAAGCAACCAGCCCAUGUAACACACCUAUCUGUCCAAUUCAGAAGCCAAAUUCUAAAGAUUACAGAUUGGUGCAUGAUCUCAGAGCUAUUAACGCUAUAGUAGAAUCUGAAACACAUGUUGUUCCCGACCCCCACACAUUGCUUUCCAACAUUCCACCUGACACACGGUGGUAUACAGUAAUUGAUUUGUGUUCAGCUUUUUUCAGCAUCCCAUUGCACUCUGACUCUCAGUAUCUUUUUGCCUUCACAUACCAGAAUCAGCAGUAUGUAUACACACGUCUUCCACAAGGGUUCACUCAGAGCCCUAGUAUUUUUAAUCGGGUUUUAGCACAAGAUUUGCAACACCUAAGUGUCCCAAGUGUCGUUUUGCAGUACACUGAUGAUCUGUUGAUCUGUAGUCCAACUAAGGAGCAGUGUGAGAGAGAUUCUAUUGCUGUCUUAUCCGUACUGGCGGAGGGAGGACACAAAGUGAGUAAAGAUAAAAUUCAGUUUUGCCAACAAUCAGUGGAAUAUUUAGGAAGACAGCUGAGAGGAGAGAAAAAACUAAUUGCUCCAUCUCAAAUAGAAGCUGUGGUCAAAGCCCCUAAACCGCAAACGGUGGGGCAAAUGCUUUCGUUUCUGGGCAUGGCGGGAUACAGUCGGCCUUGGAUUUGUGAUUAUGCAUUUAAAACAGCUCCCCUGCGAGCCCUGAUAAGGGCUGCAGGACAAAAUAACUGUAAAUCUGAGCUGCAGUGGACGGAAGAAGCAUCUGCGGCCUUUGAAGCAUUGAAGGGGGACAUGCAGUCUGCCCCAGCACUGGGUAAUCCAGAUUAUUCAAAACCUUUUCACCUGUAUGUAGCCAACAGAGGGAGCUAUGCUAAUGCUGUAUUGAUGCAAGAUACACCUAUAGGGAAGCAACCUUUAGCCUACUACAGCACAAAGCUGGAUAACAUUGAGGCUGGCCUUCCACCCUGUUAUCAAGGGUUGGCAGCAGCAGCAUUUGCUUUUCAAAAAGCAGCCUCUUUAACUAUGGGUCAUCCUGUCAUCUUAUACACAUCACAUCAGCUGCAUGCGUUGCUCUCUAGCCCGAGAUUUGUUAUCACUCAGGCUAGGCGGACUGGAUAUGAGGUAAUUCUGUCCGCUCCAGAGUUAACUAUUCAAAGGUGUAAUACUGUCAAUCCAGCCUCUAGAAUGAUGCUACCUGAUGAGGGGAUUCCCCAUGAUUGUUUGCAACAAACUGAUAAAUUUAUGCGAGCACGAGAAGAUUUGUUUAAUGAACCUAUUACAGCUGAUUUAACAUUGUUUGUUGAUGGGUCCUGUUUCAGAGAUGAAAAGGGAUGCCAUGCGGGAUACGGCAUCGUUCAGCUUAAUCCUGCCAAUUCAGGUUUCACCACCUUGCAGACGCAGAAGGUUGAUCAGCCGUGUUCUGCUCAGUUAGCAGAAUUGAAGGCCUUGACUGCAGCCUGUAAGCUGGCAGCGGGUAAAAGACUUAAUGUCUACACUGAUUCAGCAUAUGCAUAUGGCGUGUGUCAUGUCAGUGCUAACAUCUGGAAACAAAGAGGCUUUCAAAGAGCUGAUGGCACACCAGUGAUACAUGGAGAAGCUGUAGCACAAUUAAUAGAAGCUUUGCAGCUUCCCAGUGCAGUGGCAGUAAUCAAAUGCCCUGCCCAUCAGAAGACAGACACCUUGAUUGCUAAAGGGAAUAACUUAGCAGAUGAAGCAGCUAAGCAGGCAGCUACAGGAGACAAAAUGGCACCAUUGUUGUUACAGGAGUCACAGGAAGCACCCUUGGUGACACUGCAAUCACUUAUUGAGGCUCAGAGUAAGGUAGAUCCACAAGAAAAAAGGUUAUGGGAAAGGAGAGGUGCAAUAAGAAGUACCAGCCCUCCACAUGAAGGGCUGUGGAGAAGCGUGCAGGGUCAGUUCGUCAUGCCAUCCUCCAUAUUGCCUAUAGCUGUACGGAAAGCGCAUGGAGUGGAUCAUUGCCACAGGAGGGAAGUUAUUAAGAGAUUGCAGGAGGUGUGGUGGUCUCCCCUUUUGAUAGCAGAAGUAAACAGAAUUUUGAACGAGUGUGAAAUAUGUGCAAAAAAUAAUGUGAGAAAAAGCUUUUCAGCACCUCUGGCACAUAUCCCACCCCCGGAUGGGCCGUUUCGACAUCUAGUGAUUGAUUUUAUUGACAUGGGGAUGGAGAAUAGGCGAGAAGGGAUGAGAUAUGUUCUUGUUGUGGUGUGUAGGUUCAGUAGGUGGGUGGAAGCAACACCCACCCGUGCACCAGACCAUAAGUCUGUGGCCAAGUUCUUGGGUAGAGAGGUUUUUCCUAGAUUUGGGUUACCGGACACCAUUUCUUCUGAUAACGGGCCACACUUUGUUUCUCAAGUCAUACAAGUGAUGUUGAAAAUGUUGGGCAUAAAACAGAAGUUUGGGUGUGUGUAUCAUCCUCAGUCACAGGGAAGUGUAGAACGGCAGAAUGGCAUUAUUAAGGCGAAAAUCACCAAAAUUAUAGCAGAUGUGGUGAAAGGAAGUGGAGAAAAGCUAAGUUGGUUGCAAGCUUUGCCUUUGGCUCUCAUGUGUAUGAGAUCUCAAACUAACAGAACUAUGUGUUUAAGUCCUCACGAGUUGCUCACAGGAAGGCCGAUGCCCCUUCCGUACUAUCGAGGGCCUUAUGAAGGCCCUUCAUUAGAGCAAUUAGAAAAUGAAAUGGGAAGUUAUUUGCGACAACUAACUAGAAUACAUAAAGUUAUCUUUCAACAGGUGAAAGGAGCCACAGCGGACCGAGACGCAGAGAUUCCUGACCAUCUGCUGACCAUACGGCCAGGCGACCAGGUGUACUUGAAAGUGAUUAAGAGAAGGUGGGACCAACCUAGAAGGGAAGGCCCGUACACAGUUAUCCUAGCAACUCCAACAGCUGUUAAAGUUGCAGGUAAGGGGGCAUGGUUUCAUUUGUCCUCCUGCACCAAGGCACCUCAGCCUGAGCCAGGAGCGUCACAAGAAAGCAGAGAGACAGAGGAGGGGGCAGGCCAAGCCGCCCCACGGGUGACGUCGCAGCCGCACGAAGGGGACGGUGCCACCUCCCCACAGGGAAUCAGGAGAUCUCAGAGACUGGCAGCGAGGCACAGCUGUAGUGAUUCAACCCACAGGGGGACCCCUCCCGACCACCAGGAGCAUCUGUGUAGUGAAGAGGGGGGGGCUCUACCAGCUGAAAGUUAACUGGUCCAGACAGAAGCCUAGUUAAAAUAGAUCCUCAAAAGAGUGGUUUAGCAAGUAGGGAUAUUUUAAUACUGAGAAGGGGUUUAAUCGGUGGGCGGUGAAAGAGGGCGAGCAGUAAGUGUAGCAGAGGGAAAAUGGAGCAGGUAGAGAGGGAUCUGAUGCAGGGCCGGGAGUGUCAGGCUGGUGUGGACCAGGUCCAAGGGGGGGGGAAUGUUAUAAACUUGAAAAUUAUGUUGAUAGCUUUCACAGCUUGGCUGGGUGUAAUAUGUUUAUACAGCGAAGGGAAGAUAAUGGGACCUGUAGGAGUUAAAAGCAACCAAAAACAGGAGUGGUUACAUGACUGCUUAUCAGCUGUAGCCGUUAUAGCAGCAGAAAAAGGUAAAUUGCCCAUGAGGCAGAAAAUUACACUGACAUACGUAAAAUCUGAUGAAUAUGGUUUGAUCAUGGUCUCCGACUUCAGGAGACUGCAGGUAAAAGCUUAUGCAAGAAGCAUGCGGUGUGACGAGGAGGGGAUGGUGACAUCACAAGUCAUAUGUGCUCCUGGGCAUUGUGUAAAUGUUCAUAAUGGGAAGGUAAUUACCAUAAAGAGAGCAUCUCCGUGGGUGAUAGUGGUUGAUAGGCAAAAGCGAGGAGUGACUCAACAGCUCACCCCGCUGACUAGCUUAAAAUCGACAACCCUAGAAUCUAAUGUUUUUUAUCAGUGGUUGAAAUUUUCAGCUAAGCUAGUGGAAAAACAGGAUUGUAUAGUUUGCCAUAAACGCAAAAUACCUCAAGUAUUGCCGAUCCCAUUUGAAGGAGUGGAGAAAUGCUUAGUUUCCCCAGGAAGGCAUUGUUUUGCUCACUGCGUGUUAUGGAAGGCCCAUACACUGGAACCAUACUGUAGAAGGAAGCAACCCCCUAAAGGUUUUAGGCGUAAAGGCAAGUGUGUGGAGGAAAAGUUAGGAGGAUGCCCUCUGCGGUUGAGCGACACUAAACAAUAUCAGAUACCGCCGGUAGUUCAUGUAGCAGUAAACACGGUGUUCCCAUUCUGCUUAGCAUCAGGAUUAGAACAGGAGAGCAUCCUGUGGAAUGACACUGUGGAAAUGGCCAACCAAUUAAUUCAAUGUGAAUAUCAUAAUUAUCUUUUUCCCCGUAGUAAACAAACUUGGAGCAUGAAAGUAUGUAACACCACUAGUCGAGCUAAAAUGCAAUGUGCUAGAGUUGUUAGUGGAGCAGGAGGAUCAGGACCAGAUGUAUAUAUUGUAGGGCAUAAUAAGUCCUAUGCCCAGUGGUUGCAUGUCUAUAAUUUAACAAAUGGCACCUAUCCAUUAGCAGAUGUGUUUUGGAUGUGUGAAGAAGACAGACGAAUUAGAUCUGUUCUAGUGCCAAAUUGGAAAGGCAUUUGUGCCCCAGUCAUGUUAACGGGUCAAAUCUAUGUGAUUCAUUUUGCAGACAAAGAAGAAAAUGGAGUUCUAAAAAGGAUUAAAAAAAACGCCAAAGCAGCUUCACAAUUCCCUUGGGAAGAACAAGCAGACAUUUACGUUACAGCCGACCGCAUGGUUAAAGGAGUUCCAGCUGAACAUCAGGCUAUAGGGGAGGCGUGGAUUGUGUCCGGCCAAGUAGCAGGGUCUAUACCUAUUGCUGGCACGAUUGUAAAUGCUCAAUACAUAGCCAAAAAUUCAAGGUGGAUAAAUUAUUUAUGGUAUAACCAACAAAGAUUUUUGAAUUGGACUAUUGCAGCCCUCCAGGGAGUUAGUGAGCAAUUACAUGCCACGUCAUUAAUGACACUGCAAAACAGGCUUUUGAUUGAAACUAUGCUAGCCGAGGAGCAGGGUGUUUGUGAUAGAUUUGGGGAUGAUUGCUGUACAGCCAUUCCCAUGCACACAGGGGAGGCGGGAAACAUUACAAAGGUCUUGGAAAACCUAAAAAGGAUAAGAAAUGACCAUGUUAAACACUCUAAUUGGAAUUCCUCGUCUUACUCUGUAUGGGAGUGGUUUCAGAGUUUAUCACUUCUUCAGUUACUUAAGUCGAUAGGCAUAGCCAUAGGCAUAAUCCUAUUAAUACUUAUGUUGCUAACCUGUUGUGUGUUUCCUUUGAUUAAGAUACUGAUCGCCAAGACCUUGAAGGCAGUGACGCAGUUUCCUGUCCGGAUAGACCAAAGUGUGGAUUUCACAGUAGCAGUGGAAUCGUCUCCUCGGGAGCCUCAGCAAGGACCAGAUUAUGCUGAUAUGUCUCAUUAUGAAUCAUUUGAUGACUUGUUAGCGUAUAUUGCCAUGGGGAGUGGAUGCGUAGAUGAAAGUGGCCCAGUUGAGGAACCGCCUUAUGGGGUUCCCUCUAACAUCCCUGCACAAGAUAAACAGUAAUGGCAGAAUCAGGAGUGAAGAUAGAGUAUUCAGACAGCCCUACUAGGCCUGGGACCAGUUCAUCACCGGAGAGACCCUUGUGGCGCCCAUCCGCAGCCAACCAGCCAGAGGUCCCGCCCGAAGUCAAAGUGGGGAAGUUUUGGCUUCAGCGGUUGGCAUCCAUUCAUCCUGCAUCCGCCCAGGGGGGCAGCCAGAGCCACAGAGGGCACCUCUCUGGACCCUAGUUCCAGAGCCACGCGCGCCUACAUCACCGAUGACACCGCCACAGUCUCCUGUCUAUUCUGGAUCCUCAACACCACCUACUCCCAGGGCCUUAACGCCAAUUCCAGAGUCUCAGAGGUCACCCAGACCGGGGCCAAGCCACUCUCAAAGCCCAUACAGACCUCCGAUCGUCGACCUUCUGUCAUUAAGCCCCGUGUCCACUGCCAGCAUGACCCAUGAGCAUUCCGGACGUGAUGAAGGGUCUACACGUUCUAACACCCCUGUCCAGGGGAGGGCAGCUGAGUCUACAGUGACAGCGUGGGGAGAUGUUGCUGAUUCCACUGUGCAAGAACACCUUAUGCAACUCCCCAAGCCUGAAUUCCAAAGAGAAAUUCGAAAGCUGCCUACAAGCUGGGCCCAGGAGAUCAAAAGGAAAAGAAAUAAUUACAAUGCCCGCUGUCAGUAUGCUCAACGCAAGCAGAUGUAUGCAACCGCCCUGCAGACCACAGAGCAAUAUGCCCAUCAUCUCAUUCGCCAAAACGAUGCGUGGGAGCGGGCUUGGGAGAGGAGCACCCACGAGUUGGGUGAGGUGAGAGUUGAGAAUGCCCGCUGCACUGAGAGGAAUGCUGAUCUGAUGCGAGAGGUGGCUGAACUACGAAAGCAAGUGAAAGGUCAGGAAGAUCAUUCCAACUUCAUCACUCGCAAGUUGUCUGAAGCCCUUCACACCAUUGGAGCCCAGAGUAAAGAGAUCCAGAGACUCACUGCUGAAAAUGUCAGGCUUCAGGUGGUCAAUGACCAACUCAUGGCUAGUAAGGGAGUUGGUGGAGAAAGUGCUCCUGCACGCCAAUCAGUGGGUGGGGAGUAAGGCCAUGAAAGGACUGAAAGUCUGGCUUGAAUGAUGCCAUAUACUGUGAUUAUGCAUAAUAUGUAACUUGAAAUAUAUAUUCAUCUCAUGUGUCUUACUUAUACAUCCUAUGCCUUAAUUAGCAGUUAACAUAUAUCUAUUAGUUGAUCUUUCUUAUUUUGAAUUCUAUCAUAAUUGAUGAUAAUCACAGUGUGUUAUGCAAGGUGCUCUGCAAUUGUGGAUGAACAAUACUAUGGCCAUGGCAGGUUGGAUUUUGUGUGUUUCAUGUCGCCUUUGCUUAGCACCUGCUGUUGAUUAUCUUGUCUGCUCAUUAAACUAUGUAAGGAGCUUGCUUUAAAGUAUAUUAGCAAAAAAACAGCACACGCCGUAGUUAGAUAUUCACCAUUUUUGUUUUUCAUAUUAUGGGGUUUUUAGGUGGUACCUCCAGGUACCACAGGGGGGAAUGUAGUGGAUUUUUGUAUGACAUGUAUACCUAUAAAUCUAACAUGAUGGAUUUUUGUACCUAUAUAUCUAUCUGAAUAUAUAUAUUCUAACUUUCAUGUGGAGUUUUAGGCAUGCAGUGGUUCACACACACACACACACCCACACAAACACACACACACACCCACAAGUCAUGCAGCACACUCAUGAGGCAUAUCUUCACUGUCCUGUACACACACACACACUAUAAACCUACACUGGAGUGUUUUAUUUUUAUGUUAUGCAUUUAACUCAUAUAUUUGAUGUAGUUAGGCCAAGUAUUAUUCACAUUAAUAUCAUAAUUAUCUUUUAUAAACUAUGCUAUUUGCUGUACUAAUGUGUGACCUUUGACCACGUUGUGACCUAUUGUCAGAGGGUAAAGCAAAGGGUUAACCUAGGGGUGUCAUUUUGGACCGGGCGUUCAGCCAGCGCCCGGUGUGAACUCUGGCCGGCAUUUGACCCUGCACCUGCUCCUGGGUGCGUGGGAAAGUUACUCAGCAGCAGGAGGUGGGACUACUGGUACCUUUAAAAGGGGGCCGGGGACAGCCCUCUGGGCUUUUUCCUGCUGUCUGUCCGUGGGGUCGGUCCCUACCUGCAUGCGCUUACUGCGAACACCCUAGGGGAGCUUUGCUUUUCCCUCUGUUUUGCUGAGCUACACUGUUCAAUAAAACAGCUGGCAUAGAA